AGCGAACGCUGGCGGCAGGCUUAACACAUGCAAGUCGAGCGGGCAUAGCAAUAUGUCAGCGGCAGACGGGUGAGUAACGCGUGGGAACGUACCCUUUGGUUCGGAACAACUGAGGGAAGCUUCAGCUAAUACCGGAUAAGCCCUUACGGGAAGAUUAUCGCCGAAAGAUCGGCCCGCGUCUGAUUAGCUAGUUGGUGAGGUAAUGGCUCACCAAGGCGACGAUCAGUAGCUGGUCUGAGAGGAUGAUCAGCCACAUUGGGACUGAGACACGGCCCAAACUCCUACGGGAGGCAGCAGUGGGGAAUAUUGGACAAUGGGCGCAAGCCUGAUCCAGCCAUGCCGCGUGAGUGAUGAAGGCCCUAGGGUUGUAAAGCUCUUUUGUGCGGGAAGAUAAUGACGGUACCGCAAGAAUAAGCCCCGGUAAACUUCGUG
rnacentral:rRNA from 1 species